GACGAACGCUGGCGGCGUGCCUAAUACAUGCAAGUCGAGCGGACGGAUGGGAGCUUGCUCCCAGACCGUCAGCGGCGGACGGGUGAGUAACACGUGGGCAACCUGCCUGUAAGACUGGGAUAACUCCGGGAAACCGGGGCUAAUACCGGAUAACUCUUUCCCUCACAUGAGGGAAAGCUGAAAGAUGGCAUCUCGCUACCACUUACAGAUGGGCCCGCGGCGCAUUAGCUAGUUGGUGAGGUAACGGCUCACCAAGGCGACGAUGCGUAGCCGACCUGAGAGGGUGAUCGGCCACACUGGGACUGAGACACGGCCCAGACUCCUACGGGAGGCAGCAGUAGGGAAUCUUCCGCAAUGGACGAAAGUCUGACGGAGCAACGCCGCGUGAGUGAUGAAGGUUUUCGGAUCGUAAAACUCUGUUGUCAGGGAAGAACAAGUACCGGAGUAACUGCCGGUACCUUGACGGUACCUGACCAGAAAGCCACGGCUAACUACGUG
rnacentral:rRNA from 1 species